rnacentral:lncRNA from 1 species
AUCAAGGCCAGCUUCAAAAUGCACAAGAUUCAUAGGCUAUCAAUAGUCUCAUAUGGAGAAACAAAAAUAGUGGUGUCGAAGAUAUUCUAUUCUUUCAAUAAAAGAGAUGUUCAAAAUUGUACCUUAACAUUUUAGAGUUUUUGUCAAUGAAGAAUAAUCGGAACAAACUCUAACAAAUUCUUUCUUAUGCUCUAUCUGGCUUUUAACGUGACUGUCCAUAUUAGAUUGUGUUGAUUGGUUGGGCUCUUGAUGAUUAUAGAGAGGUGCUUUUGUUAAUCUCUCAAUCUAAUUGCCUUUAUGUCUCAUUUCUAAACUUCUUGUGUACAUUUGUGCACCUUCUUUUAAUUA